rnacentral:rRNA from 1 species
GAUGAACGCUGGCGGCGUGCCUAAUACAUGCAAGUCGAGCGAACAGAUAAGGAGCUUGCUCCUUUGACGUUAGCGGCGGACGGGUGAGUAACACGUGGGUAACCUACCUAUAAGACUGGAAUAACUCCGGGAAACCGGGGCUAAUGCCGGAUAACAUUUAGAACCGCAUGGUUCUAAAGUGAAAGAUGGUUUUGCUAUCACUUAUAGAUGGACCCGCGCCGUAUUAGCUAGUUGGGAAGGUAACGGCUUACCAAGGCAACGAUAGGUAGCCGACCUGAGAGGGUGAUCGGCCACACUGGAACUGAGACACGGUCCAGACUCCUACGGGAGGCAGCAGUAGGGAAUCUUCCGGAAUGGGCGAAAGCCUGACGGAGCAACGCCGCGUGAGUGAUGAAGGUCUUCGGAUCGUAAAACUCUGUUAUUAGGGAAGAACAAAUGUGUAAGUAACUGUGCACGUCUUGACGGUACCUAAUCAGAAAGCCACGGCUAACUACGUG